UGCGAAGGGGGCUAGCGUUGCUCGGAAUCACUGGGCGUAAAGCGCACGUAGGCGGCUUUCUAAGUCAGGGGUGAAAUCCUGGAGCUCAACUCCAGAACUGCCUUUGAUACUGGGGAGCUCGAGUCCGGAAGAGGUGAGUGGAACUCCGAGUGUAGAGGUGAAAUUCGUAGAUAUUCGGAAGAACACCAGUGGCGAAGGCGGCUCACUGGUCCGGUACUGACGCUGAGGUGCGAAAGCGUGGGGAGCAAACAGG
rnacentral:rRNA from 1 species